GAUGAGUUUCCAUACCAGCGGGAUACCUUUAGCCCCACUCACGGAGGAGGAAAUAUUUUACAGAAGAUUCAGUGUGAAAGAAGAGGUCAAGGAGGAGGAUGCCAUGAAUGCCGUUGUAGAAGUUAAAGAGGAACCACUCGAUUGUGAAGUUAGGGAUGAAGUGAGCGAUGUGGAAGUGAAGCCAAAUCUCUAUGGCCCAAGACAUGAAGCAAAUGAAAUGGAAUUGUGUUACUUGGUUCAGGAUUAUACUGAUAGGUUAAGAAUGCCAGUUGUGGCUGAGGUCGUUGAGAACAAUUGUUCAUCAAACAGAGAUCAGGCAAUGGACAAGGAAAGUCUUAAGGAGGAUAAUCAACUAAAAGUGGAAGCUGCUUUGAAAUAUUAUGUAUGUGAGGUGUGUGGCAAGAUAUUUUCUGAUAAGAGUCUUAUCAACAUUCAUAGGAGAGACCACACAAAGGUGAUGCCAUACUGCUGUAAAACUUGCAACAAGGCUUUCUCACAGAAAAGUGAUUUAGUGAUACAUAUGAGAGUACAUACAAAGGAAAUGCCAUACUUUUGUGAAAUUUGCAACAAGCCAUUCUCACACAAAUGUUAUCUAGAGAUACACAUGAGAAUACAUACAAAGGAGAAGCCAUACACCUGUGACAUAUGCAGCAAGUCAUUUGCAAGAAAAGGUAAUCUAGUGAGCCAUAUGAAAGUACAUACAAAGGAAAAGCCAUACAUCUGUGAGAUUUGCAACAAGGCAUUCUCACACAAAAAUAUUCUUGUGUUCCAUAUCCGAGUACAUACAAAGGAAAAGCCAUACAGCUGUGAGAUUUGCAAAAAGGCUUUCUCACGAAAAGGUAAUCUUAAGAUGCACAUGAGAGUACAUACAAAGGAAAAGCCAUACACAUGUGAGAUUUGCAACAAGACAUUCUCACACAAAAAUAUUCUAGUGUACCAUAUCAGAGUACAUACAAAUGAAAAGCCAUACAAUUGUGAUAUUUGCAAAAAGGCUUUCUCACGAAAAAGUAGUCUAAACAUACACAUGAAAGUACAUACAAAGGAGAAGCCAUACACAUGUGAGAUUUGCAACAAGCCAUUCUCAAGAAGAGAUAAACUAGUGAGCCAUAUGAAUGUACAUACGAAGGAGGAGAAAUACAUCUGUGAGAUUUGCAACAAGCCAUUCUCACAUAAGAAAAGCCUAGUGAACCAUAUAAGAGUGCAUACAAAGGGAAAGCCACAUAGCUGUGAGAUUUGCAAAAAGACCUUCUCAAAAAAAAGAAAUCUAGUGAUACACAUGAGAGUACAUACAAAAGAGAAGCCAUACAGCUGUGAGAUUUGCAAAAAGACCUUCUCACAAAAAAGUACUCAUGUAAUGCACAUGAGAGUACAUACAAAUGAGAAGCCAUACAGCUGUGAGAUUUGCAAGAAGCCCUUCUUAUGGAAAAAGAAUCUAACCGAGAGCUGGUGAUGACUAUGCCCUCCCCUGCCCCAUGACCCUACCACCCUGUCCUAUGACCUUGACCCAUGCCUGCUCUGCUCUGGAGAAUUUUUCCUUACUCCCUUCCCUCGCCUCACUCUGUAUCAGGGUGAGUGGGUCAUGCUUCGCUCCACGCCAUUGCCACGCCUCCGGUCAGGGUUUUAAAAGCUGACCCGGCCUCCAGGCUAGUACAAUGGUAACGUGUCGGCCUCUCAUCCGAGGGGUCGGCGGUUCGCGCCCUCGGCGACUCUGCCCUCAGCAGGGUGGGUCUCGCUCACCCUCGUUCGCUUACUACUCUCUCUCCGAGAGCGACCUCACGGCCGCCGCCAGCCGUACCGCCUCGCCUGCUAUAGGCCGGGCACCAGCACCUAGAGUCGUAUCGUGUUUUUAUCAUACGUGUUCCUUCCAUUCGUGUGUUAUUAAUAAAGU